rnacentral:rRNA from 1 species
UAGGGAAUCUUCGGCAAUGGACGAAAGUCUGACCGAGCAACGCCGCGUGAGUGAAGAAGGUUUUCGGAUCGUAAAACUCUGUUGUUAGAGAAGAACAAGGACGUUAGUAACUGAACGUCCCCUGACGGUAUCUAACCAGAAAGCCACGGCUAACUACGUGCCAGCAGCCGCGGUAAUACGUAGGUGGCAAGCGUUGUCCGGAUUUAUUGGGCGUAAAGCGAGCGCAGGCGGUUUCUUAAGUCUGAUGUGAAAGCCCCCGGCUCAACCGGGGAGGGUCAUUGGAAACUGGGAGACUUGAGUGCAGAAGAGGAGAGUGGAAUUCCAUGUGUAGCGGUGAAAUGCGUAGAUAUAUGGAGGAACACCAGUGGCGAAGGCGGCUCUCUGGUCUGUAACUGACGCUGAGGCUCGAGAGCGUGGGGAGCAAACAAG